rnacentral:rRNA from 1 species
GCAAGUCGAACGGCGAGGAGAGCUUGCUUUCUCGAGCGAGUGGCGAACGGGUGAGUAACGCGUGAGGACCUGCCUCAAAGAGGGGGACAACAGUUGGAAACGACUGCUAAUACCGCAUAAGUCGGCAUCGAAAAAGGAGCAAUCCGCUUUGAGAUGGCCUCGCGUCCGAUUAGCUAGUUGGUGAGGUAACGGCCCACCAAGGCGACGAUCGGUAGCCGGACUGAGAGGUUGAACGGCCACAUUGGGACUGAGACACGGCCCAGACUCCUACGGGAGGCAGCAGUGGGGAAUAUUGCACAAUGGGGGAAACCCUGAUGCAGCGACGCCGCGUGGAGGAAGAAGGUCUUCGGAUUGUAAACUCCUGUUGUUGGGGAAGAUAAUGACGGUACCCAACAAGGAAGUGACGGCUAACUACGUGCCAGCAGCCGCGGUAAAACGUAGGUCACAAGCGUUGUCCGGAAUUACUGGGUGUAAAGGGAGCGCAGGCGGGAAGACAAGUUGGAAGUGAAAUCUAUGGGCUCAACCCAUAAACUGCUUUCAAAACUGUUUUUCUUGAGUAGUGCAGAGGUAGGCGGAAUUCCCGGUGUAGCGGUGGAAUGCGUAGAUAUCGGGAGGAACACCAGUGGCGAAGGCGGCCUACUGGGCACCAACUGACGCUGAGGCUCGAAAGUGUGGGUAGCAAACAGGAUUAGAUACCCUGGUAGUCCACACCGUAAACGAUGAUUACUAGGUGUUGGAGGAUUGACCUUCAGUGCCGCAGUUAACACAAUAAGUAAUCCACCUGGGGAGUAC